GUACUGAAUGAUGCAGACACAACUCCCUCUAACUCCCACUCUUUGACUCUGCAAAUGGGCCACCCACUUCUUCAUUUUCAUCUUCCUGAGCGUUCUGUGGGGAAACUCAAAUUCUGAUAAUCUGGGGUCUUGCUCUGCUCCAUUGCUGAGAAGUACUGUGGAGCAGGCUGACGAGGAGAGAUGGGCGUCAGGGGGCAGGGAAGGCCAGAGACCCCCGAAUCUUCUUCAUGGAUGUCAGCUUCAGCAUCCAUGCCCCCAUGCUCUGUUUCUGCAGUUUAGCCCACGAGCUGCGUCUCAGCUGCAUGGAGAGGAAAAAGGUCCAGAUUCGAAGCAUGGAUCCCUCCGCCUUGGCAAGCGACCGAUUUAACCUCAUACUGGCAGAUACCAACAGUGACCGGCUCUUCACAGUGAACGAUGUUAAAGUCGGAGGCUCCAAGUAUGGCAUCAUCAACCUGCAAAGUCUGAAGACCCCUACGCUCAAGGUGUUCAUGCACGAAAACCUCUACUUCACCAACCGGAAGGU
rnacentral:sRNA from 1 species